rnacentral:rRNA from 1 species
GUGGGGAAUAUUGGACAAUGGGCGAAAGCCUGAUCCAGCCAUGCCGCGUGUGUGAAGAAGGUCUUCGGAUUGUAAAGCACUUUAAGUUGGGAGGAAGGGCAGUAAGUUAAUACCUUGCUGUUUUGACGUUACCGACAGAAUAAGCUCCGGCUAACUUCGUGCCAGCAGCCGCGGUAAUACGAAGGGUGCAAGCGUUAAUCGGAAUUACUGGGCGUAAAGCGCGCGUAGGUGGUUUUGUAAGUUGGAGGUGAAAUCCCCGGGCUCAACCUGGGAACUGCCUCCAAAACUGCAUGACUAGAGUACGGUAGAGGGUAGUGGAAUUUCCUGUGUAGCGGUGAAAUGCGUAGAUAUAGGAAGGAACACCAGUGGCGAAGGCGACUACCUGGACUGAUACUGACACUGAGGUGCGAAAGCGUGGGGAGCAAACAGGAUUAGAUACCCGGGUAGUCC